GGGAUGAUUGAGCCCAAAGCUCCGAAUGGACAUCAUUUCAUUUUGGUGGCAAUUGACUACUUCACAAAAAGGGUUGAAGCAGCAUCGUAUGCAAAUGUAACUAUAAGACCCUAAUUUUGACCCUAAGAUCCCUCAUGGCAUCAUAUCAUUUUCUCAUUGCAUUGCCUCAAGGAUCAUAGCAUGUGUGGCUCCUUAACCCUUGGGUUGGGACUUGUGUGAGUUGGUUUGAGACCACCAAGCAUGCUUGAAU
rnacentral:lncRNA from 1 species